rnacentral:rRNA from 1 species
UGGGGAAUAUUGGACAAUGGGCGCAAGCCUGAUCCAGCCAUGCCGCGUGGGUGAUGAAGGCCCUAGGGUUGUAAAGCCCUUUCAGCGGGGAAGAUAAUGACGGUACCCGCAGAAGAAGCCCCGGCUAACUUCGUG